rnacentral:rRNA from 1 species
AACCUGCCCUUAACUCUGGGAUAAGCCUGGGAAACUGGGUCUAAUACCGGAUAUGACUCCUCAUCGCAUGGUGGGGGGUGGAAAGCUUUUUGUGGUUUUGGAUGGACUCGCGGCCUAUCAGCUUGUUGGUGAGGUAAUGGCUUACCAAGGCGACGACGGGUAGCCGGCCUGAGAGGGUGACCGGCCACACUGGGACUGAAACACGGGCCAGACUCCUACGGGAGGCAGCAGUGGGGAAUAUUGCACAAUGGGCGCAAGCCUGAUGCAGCGACGCCGCGUGAGGGAUGACGGCCUUCGGGUUUGUAAACCUCUUUCAGUAGGGAAGAAGCGAAAGUGACGGUACCUGCAGAAGAAGCCGCCGGGCUAACUACUUGCCAACAGCCGCGGUAAUACCUAGGGCGCAAGCGUUAUCCGGAAUUAUUGGGCGUAAAGAGCUCGUAGGCGGUUUGUCGCGUCUGCCGUGAAAGUCCGGGGCUCAACUCCCGAUCUGCGGUGGGUACGGCCAGACUACAGUGAUGUAGGGGAGACUGGAAUUCCUGGUGUAGCGGUGAAAUGCGCAGAUAUCAUGAGGAACACCGAUGGCGAAGGCAGGUCUCUGGGCAUUAACUGACGCUGAGGAGCGAAAGCAUGGGGAGCGAACAGGAUUAGAUUACCCUGGUAGUCCAUGCCGUAAACGUUGGGCACUAGGUGUGGGGGACAUUCCACGUUUUCCGCGCCGUAGCUAACGCAUUAAGUGCCCCGCCUGGGGAGUACGGCCGCAAGGCUAAAACUCAAAGGAAUUGACGGGGGCCCGCACAAGCGGCGGAGCAUGCGGAUUAAUUCGAUGCAACGCGAAAAACCUUACCAAGGCUUGACAUGAACCGGAAAUACCUGGAGACAGGUGCCCCG